AUUGAACGCUGGCGGCAUGCCUUACACAUGCAAGUCGAACGGCAGCGGGGGAGAAGCUUGCUUUUCCUGCCGGCGAGUGGCGAACGGGUGAGUAAUACAUCGGAACGUGCCCUGUAGUGGGGGAUAACUAGUCGAAAGAUUAGCUAAUACCGCAUACGACCUGAGGGUGAAAGUGGGGGACCGCAAGGCCUCAUGCUAUAGGAGCGGCCGAUGUCUGAUUAGCUAGUUGGUGGGGUAAAGGCCUACCAAGGCGACGAUCAGUAGCUAGUCUGGGAGGACAGUCAGCCACACUGGGACUGAGACACGGCCCAGACUCCUACGGGAGGCAGCAGUGGGGAAUUUUGGACAAUGGGCGAAAGCCUGACUCAGCAAUGCCGCGUGUGUGAAGAAGGCCUUCGGGUUGUAAAGCACUUUUGUCCGGAAAGAAAUGGCUCUGGUUAAUACCUGGGGUCGAUGACGGUACCGGAAGAAUAAGGACCGGCUAACUACGUGCCAGCAGCCGCCGUAA
rnacentral:rRNA from 1 species